rnacentral:rRNA from 8 species
UAGGGAAUCUUCCGCAAUGGGCGAAAGCCUGACGGAGCAAUGCCGCGUGAGUGAUGAAGGUUUUCGGAUCGUAAAGCUCUGUUGCCAGGGAAGAACGCUUGGGAGAGUAACUGCUCUCAAGGUGACGGUACCUGAGAAGAAAGCCCCGGCUAACUACGUG